rnacentral:tRNA from 1 species
GCCGGUAUAACACAGUUGGUAGAGAGUCUGAUUUGUAAUCAGAGGGUCCGCGGUUCAAGUCCGUGUGCCGGCACCA